rnacentral:snoRNA from 1 species
UACUGUUUGUGAUGAUUAAUUCUAAGCAAUGGGAAUCUCUCUGAAAGAGGCUGAGGAGAAUCUUGCACUGAAACAGUA